UUGUCGGCAAGCACAUCUGACGUUUAUGCUCGAAAGAAAAGGAAAGACAAGGCUCCCAUAUGUGAAACUGAGGUACGAAGAAGUUAUCGAUUCCACGAAGCUAAUAAAGGUUUUAAAGGAAGAGUUUGCAAAGAUAAAAAUUGCCUCCCUUGUAGCACUGAUCCACCUGCUUUACCCUCAAGAGUUAUUAAAAACCUAUCCGUUUCCUUUUGCAAGGCGAACAUUAAGGACUGCACUUAGGAGAUGCUUCAGCAGCCCAAGAAAAAAGAAGGAUACAAAGAAUUUUGCCAAGGGGGUGCAGAAGAAGCCUGCAAUCUUCAGUCCCUAGAGUUUUAGUUGUAGUCUUUUGUUGCUGGACCUGUGUUUUAGCUCUUUUGUUGCUGGGUUGUUUACUUUAAUUUAGCUCUUUUGUCGCUGGG
rnacentral:lncRNA from 1 species